rnacentral:rRNA from 1 species
UACGGAGGGUGCAAACGUUGCUCGGAAUCAUUGGGCGUAAAGCGCACGUAGGCGGUUUGGCAAGUCGGGUGUGAAAUCCCUCGGCUUAACCGAGGAAGUGCAUUCGAAACUACCAAGCUUGAAUACUCAAGAGGGUCUCGGAAUUCCCGGUGUAGAGAUGAAAUUCGUAGAUAUCGGGAGGAACACCAGUGGCGAAGGCGGAGACCUGGGGAGAUAUUGACGCUGAGGUGCGAAAGCGUGGGGAGCAAACAGG